rnacentral:rRNA from 1 species
AGAGUUUGAUCCUGGCUCAGAUUGAACGCUGGCGGCAUGCCUUACACAUGCAAGUCGAACGGCAGCACGGGGGCAACCCUGGUGGCGAGUGGCGAACGGGUGAGUAAUACAUCGGAACGUGUCCUGUAGUGGGGGAUAGCCCGGCGAAAGCCGGAUUAAUACCGCAUACGCUCUACGGAGGAGAGGGGGGGAUCUUAGGACCUCCCGCUACAGGGGCGGCCGAUGGCAGAUUAGCUAGUUGGUGGGGUAAAGGCCUACCAAGGCGACGAUCUGUAGCUGGUCUGAGAGGACGACCAGCCACACUGGGACUGAGACACGGCCCAGACUCCUACGGGAGGCAGCAGUGGGGAAUUUUGGACAAUGGGGGCAACCCUGAUCCAGCAAUGCCGCGUGUGUGAAGAAGGCCUUCGGGUUGUAAAGCACUUUUGUCCGGAAAGAAAACGCCGUGGUUAAUACCCGUGGCGGAUGACGGUACCGAAGAUU